UUGCCACAGUUUCAUAGAUGUUAGCAGAAGACUGGUGACUCCUGAGUCAAGAGUAACAGCAUGGCAGGUGGUCUGAACUUAAUAUUUGCUUCUGUUUUCUUUUGUCCCCUAGCUCCCAUAGUGGAAGAUGCAGAAGAAGGCCUACUGUAUGCUGCACACAUGGUGGUUUGUGUCACAGCUAAAAUUACAUAGGUCCCUGGACUCCAGCUGUAAGACGGUUAAGAGUAAAAAUCAGAAUCUACUAGGAGAAAAAUUUUCAUGAGAACUAAAUCUUGCUUUAUCUUAGAAAUUCUCAUUUAAUACAUGGUGAACUGGAUCUCCAACACUGAACAUGAUGCUCCUGACCUUCUCACACUCUUUGUAGCCUGACCUCAAGAAAAUUCUACACCAUUUAGAACCAGUUCAGUUGUUAACAGCAUCUCAGAGAAUGAUAUGAAUUCUCUAGGUAACAUGAUUAGAAGAUACUGAUUUUAUCCUUCAAAAAUACUUAUUGAAAUUUUACACAUUCUAUAAUGAAUACAAUGUUGUUCAUUAUAAUAUAUUUGAGUUUUCAUGCUUCCCUUGAGAUGCAUGCAUGUAUGAUCAGAGGUUUGCUUCACAAGAGAAAGAAGGGGUAGAAUGGAAGCUGGCUAGACAAACAUAGGAACCUUCAUAACCACAGCUACUAAGCAUGCAGCUAUUGAUUGAUCUGUCUGUAUUUGCAUAACUGUCAUUUCAUUUUGGAUUUAUUAUAUUUAAAGCAAAUAAAAAUAAUUUGAUACUUUAUAAAUUAUUAAUAACUUGCCUAUUAACUCUGUUAAUCAUCAGCUACCUAUUUGGUUAACUUUGUAAAUUCCUAUUUCAUUACAUUUAGAAUCCUUAACUAUUUAAGACAAUUCUUAACAAUAAGUGACUUUUUUUUCCCUAACUAGGUAUAUAAAUACCCACAUAUUAAAGAGAUCAUUGAACAACCAUUUCUCACCAUUGCUAUUGAGGUUUGAAAGCUCAGGGGUGGUCAUGACAUUAAAGGAAACACUGGUAUUUGUUUCCAUUUAUACUUUUAGAGUAUUGUAUAUUAACAAAAUUAUAUUAAUAAUAUAAUUUUUAGGUUUUUAGGUGCUUUAUUUGAGAAUUUUUAAUAGUUUAUGGAGACUACAUGAGCAUAACGAAUACUUAAUAACAUAGUUUAUCAUUCACUGUCCAUUUUGGUUACUUAAAACUUCAUUCAGUUUCUAGUUGUUUGACAAUUUAGUCACAUAUUAUACAGGUACUUAUGCCAUUGGUUAUUGGCAGGAAAGAGUCAAAAGUGUUGGUAUAGAUAUUCAUAUGUGUAGCAAAUAGCAAUGGAAAUGAACCAAGCACUGCUUUAUGUAGAAAGAGGUACAAACCUCACACAAAGAUAUCUGGAGCUAGAUAUGCUAUACACAAAAGAUAACAUGUUAUAUGAUUCCAUUGAGAUAAAGCUGAAAAGUGAAAGUAAUCUAUGGCAUUGGAGGUUAUGCUAAUGCCUGGAACUUGAUGUAAAGGUGUAUCUAUGGAGUUAGCAAUGUUCUAUUUCUUGACGAGUAUGUAGUUAUACAGAUGUGAAAAUCACCACUUACAAAAUACGUAUUUUUGUGUAUUAAAUUUAGUUUAAAAUAUAUAAUAAAAGUAUUAGAAGCAGAAUGCUCUUUGUA